rnacentral:lncRNA from 1 species
GAAUCUAAUGAACUUGAAGAGGAAUUUGUUCUGUUCUGUUCUUGUUAAAAUAUAUAUAUAUUUUUUUUUGUUUAAAUCAACAAUUUCUCAGGAAAUCAGAUUGACAGAACCUAAAGUGCAGCUUUGCCUCCGCUCCACUAGGCGGCACAAGCGGGUUUCAGCUUCAGUCUGACACCUCCGGCUGCUUGACAACAUGACGCUUGAUGACAGUCACAACAACAACACGCGCCGAUCCUACAGAAGACAGCUGUUAAUUUUAACAACAUGUUUUUCAGCUAAUCUGCAAAUAAAACCGACACACGCUCUGAUAAACGCUGGAUUCGAGUGUGACGCGACUCGCCUAAUGAGUGGUAUCUUGGUUGUAAACUGGUCCGGCUGAAGCAGAGCUCUGGGACGUGUGGACAGACAUUGACUGUAUUGAUGGACAUCUGCUCAUGGACAGGUAAUGUAUCUAAUGUAUGAAUGUGUGUUCUAGUGCACUAAACAUGUAGGUUACCAUCAUUUUCUUUUUGAAGGGCCUCCCCUUUGAAAAGCAAAUGAUGGUAACCUAAGUAGGUGGGGAAGGGACGGGGGAUGAGAGUUUUUAUGCAGCUUUAAUUUUUUUUUGUCUGUCCAAAAGCAUAACCGCUGCUGGUCACAGUGCCGGAAGCUCCGAGGGGGAAUCUUUUUUUAAUUGCAUGCGUCAUCUUACUAUGGCAAUGUU